rnacentral:misc_RNA from 1 species
GCAGUUCAAAGCAAUUUUAGAACUACAAUUCCGAAAAGCAUAAAACCUUGUUAAAAAAAUCCUUGUUAAAAAAAAUGCACUAGGCACGUAUAUGUUCUUCCAACUGUCAACAUGGUUACAUGCAUUUAACACCAAUAAGCCACACAAUCAGCUCAACGGAGGAAGCAAAUCUCCCUUUAAUCUGUAAAUUAAAAGAUAAAAACAAUUGCUGUUGGCAGAUGAACCCUAUCACAAGGCUUAUUAUCAACUCAGCAUUUCUAUAGUAAAAUUGAAACUUGCCCGUUGCCUCUCCGAGGAAACUUCCAAUUGAUGCGACAAUGCCCUCAACACCGUAUGAACAAACUGAUACGUAAUUAUUUCUCCAACCCACUAACUUCAGCUGAUCAACUGCCAGAGUGGCAGUCUAUCAAAUUGGGAGCCAAUGCCAAUAUCUAAUUGUUAUACCCAAUUCCCUAUCAAACUCGCACUAGCCAACAAGUUUCAAUCCCCCAUGCACCUUGACAAAUUCCCAACAAAUAAUAAAGACAAUAAAUAAUUUCAUAUUUUUAUUAAUGUAUUCUAUUCUAGCUUGUAUACAAUAUGCAUCAUCCAAUACCAAAAACACUAAAAAUGUACACUUCAGAAUUUACGUUCAAGUUGUCUAUAACAACACGCCCAGCAGAAGACUAACACAGCAUAGGAAAAAUCAAAAUAUUUGCUUAAUGGAACACCUUAUGGAAUAUGCUGUCCAUGAAAACAACACCAGAAGAGUAAAACUUAAAUGUCCACAUGCAAGGUGACAGACGCAUGACCAUCAUUUCAUAAGGAUACGUUUUGGUCCUUCAUUCAACAGGAAGUUGAGAUAAAUCCUCACGCUAUUGGACCUAAAUGUUCUACCAUCAAAU